GGCGGCGUGCUUACACAUGCAGUCGAACGAACCUUCGGGUUAGUGGCGGACGGGUGAGUAACGCGUGAGAAUCUGCCCUCAGGAGGGGGAUAACGGUUGGAAACGACCGCUAAUACCCCAUAUGCCGCGAGGUGAAAUGAAUUUCGCCUGAGGAUGAGCUCGCGUCUGAUUAGCUAGUUGGUGGGGUAAGAGCCUACCAAGGCUUCGAUCAGUAGCUGGUCUGAGAGGAUGAUCAGCCACACUGGGACUGAGACACGGCCCAGACUCCUACGGGAGGCAGCAGUGGGGAAUUUUCCGCAAUGGGCGAAAGCCUGACGGAGCAACGCCGCGUGAGGGAUGAAGGCCUCUGGGCUGUAAACCUCUUUUAUCAAGGAAGAAGAUCUGACGGUACUUGAUGAAUAAGCCACGGCUAAUUUCKUGCCAGCAGCCGCGGUAAUACGGGAGUGGCAAGCGUUAUCCGGAAUUAUUGGGCGUAAAGCGUCCGCAGGCGGUCUUACAAGUCUGUCGUUAAAGCGUGGAGCUUAACUCCAUUUCGGCGAUGGAAACUGUAAGACUAGAGUGUGGUAGGGGCAGAGGGAAUUCCCGGUGUAGCGGUGAAAUGCGUAGAUAUCGGGAAGAACACCAGUGGCGAAGGCGCUCUGCUGGGCCAUAACUGACGCUCAUGGACGAAAGCUAGGGGAGCGAAAGGGAUUAGAUACCCCUGUAGUCCUAGCCGUAAACGAUGAACACUAGGUGUCGGGGGAAUCGACCCCCUCGGUGUCGUAGCCAACGCGUUAAGUGUUCCGCCUGGGGAGUACGCACGCAAGUGUGAAACUCAAAGGAAUUGACGGGGGCCCGCACAAGCGGUGGAGUAUGUGGUUUAAUUCGAUGCAACGCGAAGAACCUUACCAGGGUUUGACAUCCUGCGAAUCCCUUGGAAACUUGGGAGUGCCUUCGGGAGCGCAGUGACAGGUGGUGCAUGGCUGUCGUCAGCUCGUGUCGUGAGAUGUUGGGUUAAGUCCCGCAACGAGCGCAACCCACGUCUUUAGUUGCCAGCAUUUAGUUGGGCACUCUAGAGAGACCGCCGGUGAUAAACCGGAGGAAGGUGUGGAUGACGUCAAGUCAUCAUGCCCCUUACAUCCUGGGCUACACACGUACUACAAUGCUACGGACAAAGGGCAGCAAACUCGCGAGAGCUAGCCAAUCCCAUAAACCGUGGCUCAGUUCAGAUCGUAGGCUGCAACUCGCCUACGUGAAGGAGGAAUCGCUAGUAAUCGCAGGUCAGCAUACUGCGGUGAAUACGUUCCCGGGCCUUGUACACACCGCCCGUCACACCAUGGAAGUUGGCCACGCCCGAAGUCGUUACUCCAACCCUUGUGGAGGAGGAUGCCGAAGGUGGGGCUGAUGACUGGGGUGAAGUCGUAACAAGGUAGCCGUACCGGAAGGUGCGGCUGGAUCACCUCCUA
rnacentral:rRNA from 1 species